rnacentral:rRNA from 1 species
UACGAAGGGGGCUAGCGUUGCUCGGAAUCACUGGGCGUAAAGCGCACGUAGGCGGAUCUUUAAGUCAGGGGUGAAAUCCUGGAGCUCAACUCCAGAACUGCCUUUGAUACUGGGGAUCUCGAGUCCGGAAGAGGUGAGUGGAACUCCGAGUGUAGAGGUGAAAUUCGUAGAUAUUCGGAAGAACACCAGUGGCGAAGGCGGCUCACUGGUCCGGUACUGACGCUGAGGCACGAAAGCGUGGGGAGCAAACAGGG